rnacentral:rRNA from 1 species
UACGUAGGGGGCGAGCGUUGUCCGGAAUUAUUGGGCGUAAAGAGCGUGUAGGCGGUUCGGUAAGUCUGCCGUGAAAUCCUGGGGCUCAACCCUGGGCGUGCGGUGGAUACUGCCGGGCUAGAGGGUGGUAGAGGCGAGUGGAAUUCCCGGUGUAGCGGUGAAAUGCGCAGAUAUCGGGAGGAACACCAGUAGCGAAGGCGGCUCGCUGGGCCAUUCCUGACGCUGAGGAGCGAAAGCGUGGGGAGCAAACAGG